rnacentral:sRNA from 1 species
AACAGAGGACACUUACACGCACUGGGUCUUGUCAGCACAGUCGCAGCUUCCGCAGUUGCUUGACAUGAUUGAGUUUUUGAAAAGGCUUUAAAGGA